AAGUAAAAUUCUGAGAUGGCUUAAGAAUAAAUGUAAAUUUUUUUUAUCUUCUAUCUAUUCUAUUUGUUUGAGACUGCAUCAGUUCAAAUAUCUUCUUAGUCAACUAACUAACUUUUUAGAUCGACUAACUGACUUUUUGAAUCGGCUCAGAGAACUUAUAAAUUUACACUGCUUUCUACAUUCUUUUGCCUCUGAGAUUGAGUCAGC
rnacentral:lncRNA from 1 species